CCAAUAGCGUAUAUUAAAGUUGUUGCAGUUAAAAAGCUCGUAGUUGAAUUUCGGGAUCAAUAUAACGGUCAUGCCGUUGGUAUGCACUGUUAUAAUUGAUUUCUCACCUUCUAAAGAACCGUAAUGCCAUUAAUUUGGUGUCACGGGGAAUUAGGACUGUUACCUUGAAAAAAUUAGAGUGUUUAAAGCAGGCUCACGCUUGAAUACAUUAGCAUGGAAUAAUGAAAUAGGACAUCCGAUUCUAUUUUGUUGGUUUCUAGGAUCGAUGUAAUGAUUAAUAGGGAUAGUUGGGGGCAUUAGUAUUCAAUUGUCAGAGGUGAAAUUCUUGGAUUUAUUGAAGACUAACUACUGCGAAAGCAUUUGCCAAGGACGUUUUCAUUAAUCAAGAACGAAAGUUAGGGGAUCGAAGACGAUCAGAUACCGUCGUAGUCUUAACCAUAAACUAUGCCGACUAGGGAUCGGAUGAUGUUAAUUUUUUAAUGACUCAUUCGGCGCCUUACG
rnacentral:rRNA from 1 species